AACCAUAGAAACCUGCGGAGUACCUGCGGAGGGAUCAUUACCGAGUUUACAACUCCCAAACCCCUGUGAACAUACCAAUUGUUGCCUCGGCGGAUCAGCCCGCUCCCGGUAAAACGGGACGGCCCGCCAGAGGACCCCUAAACUCUGUUUCUAUAUGUAACUUCUGAGUAAAACCAUAAGUAAAUCAAAACUUUCAGCAACGGAUCU
rnacentral:misc_RNA from 1 species